rnacentral:sRNA from 12 species
GAAGCGUGAACCAAGCGGCGGCGAGAGUCGCGUGAGACUUGGAGCAUGGCCUCGGCAACGAGGCCAUGCA